UGUGGGUGAGGCGUGAUGCGUAGACCUUUGUGGUUGAUGUUGGUGAUCCUGUACUGUCGAGAAAAGCCUCUAGCGAGUGCAUAUAUGGCCCGUACCCAUAACCGACACAGGUGGUCAGGUAGAGAAUACUAAGGCGAUCGGGUGAACUGUGGUUAAGGAACUCGGCAAAUUGCCCCCGUAACUUCGGGAGAAGGGGGACCAUUGCUGGUGACCGACGUGGUUGAGCUGGUGGUGGUCGCAGAGAAUAGAGGGAAGCGACUGUUUAUUAAAAACACAGGUCCGUGCGAAAACGUGGAAGUUGAUGUAUACGGACUGACGCCUGCCCGGUGCUGGAAGGUUAAGAGGACCUGUUAGGGCAUUUUUUGUCCGAAGCGGAGAAUUUAAGCCCCAGUAAACGGCGGUGGUAACUAUAACCAUCCUAAGGUAGCGAAAUUCCUUGUCGGGUAAGUUCCGACCUGCACGAAUGGCGUAACGACUUCCCUGCUGUCUCAACCACAGGCCCGGUGAAAUUGCAGUACGAGUAAAGAUGCUCGUUACGCGCGGCAGGACGAAAAGACCCCGGGACCUUCACUAUAGCUUGGUAUUGGUGUUUGGUUCGGUUUGUGUAGGAUAGGUGGGAGACUGUGAAGUGGUCACGCUAGUGGUUGUGGAGUCGAAAGUUGAAAUACCACUCUGAUCGGAUUGAGCACCUUAACCUUGGCCCAUGAUCUGGGUUGGGGACAGUGCCUGGUGGGUAGUUUAACUGGGGCGGUUGCCUCCUAAAGUGUAACGGAGGCGCCCAAAGGUUCCCUCAGCCUGGUUGGCAAUCAGGUGGUGAGUGUAAGUGCACAAGGGAGCUUGACUGUGAGACUGACAGGUCGAGCAGGGACGAAAGUCGGGACUAGUGAUCCGGCACCUACUUGUGGAAGUGGUGUCGCUCAACGGAUAAAAGGUACCCCGGGGAUAACAGGCUGAUCUUCCCCAAGAGUCCAUAUCGACGGGAUGGUUUGGCACCUCGAUGUCGGCUCGUCGCAUCCUGGGGCUGGAGUAGGUCCCAAGGGUUGGGCUGUUCGCCCAUUAAAGCGGCACGCGAGCUGGGUUUAGAACGUCGUGAGACAGUUCGGUCUCUAUCCGCCGCGCGCGUUGAAACUUGAAGAAGGCUGUCCCUAGUACGAGAGGACCGGGACGGACGUACCUCUAGUGUGCCAGUUGUCACGCCAGUGGCAGGGCUGGUUGGCUACGUACGGGAGGGAUAACCGCUGAAAGCAUCUAAGCGGGAAGCCUGUUUUGAGAUGAGGUUUCUUUUGAGGUUCCCUCUAGACUAGGGGGUUGAUAGGCCAGAUCUGGAAGCGUAGUAAUGCGUUAAGGUGACUGGUACUAAUUUUACCGAGUAAUAACAUUGU
rnacentral:rRNA from 1 species